UACGGAGGGUGCAAGCGUUAUCCGGAUUCACUGGGUUUAAAGGGUGCGUAGGAGGGCAGGUAAGUCAGUGGUGAAAUCCCCGAGCUUAACUUGGGAACUGCCGUUGAUACUAUCUGUCUUGAAUACCGUGGAGGUGAGCGGAAUAUGUCAUGUAGCGGUGAAAUGCUUAGAUAUGACAUAGAACACCAAUUGCGAAGGCAGCUCGCUACACGAAUAUUGACUCUGAGGCACGAAAGCGUGGGAAUCAAACAGG
rnacentral:rRNA from 1 species